GUUCACUUCAGCAGCACAUACUAAAAUUGGAAAGAUAUGGAGAAAAGAUUAGUGAGGCCCCUGCACAAGGAUGACAUGCCAAUUUAUGAAGUAUUUUAUAUUUUU